ACGGAGGGUGCGAGCGUUAAUCGGAAUUACUGGGCGUAAAGGGUGCGUAGGUGGUUUAUUAAGUUAUCUGUGAAAUUCCUGGGCUCAACCUAGGCUGGUCAGAUAAUACUGGUGAACUCGAGUAUGGGAGAGGGCAGUGGAAUUUCCGGUGUAGCGGUGAAAUGCGUAGAGAUCGGAAGGAACACCAGUGGCGAAGGCGGCUGCCUGGCCUAAUACUGACACUGAGGCACGAAAGCGUGGGGAGCAAACAGG
rnacentral:rRNA from 1 species